rnacentral:rRNA from 1 species
UAUGGCGACCGGCGCACGGGUGAGUAACACGUAUCCAACCUGCCUCAUACUCGGGGAUAGCCUUUCGAAAGAAAGAUUAAUACCCGAUGCCAUAGUCCUACCGCAUGAUGGGAUUAUUAAAGAAUUUCGGUAUGGGAUGGGGAUGCGUUCCAUUAGUUAGUUGGCGGGGUAACGGCCCACCAAGACAACGAUGGAUAGGGGUUCUGAGAGGAAGGUCCCCCACAUUGGAACUGAGACACGGUCCAAACUCCUACGGGAGGCAGCAG